rnacentral:rRNA from 1 species
CAAUAGCGUAUAUUAAAGUUGUUGCAGUUAAAAAGCUCGUAGUUGGAUUUGUGGCGUACGGUGUGUUCCGGGCACUUGUUGUCUGAGUAACUUGCUGUUGCCAUCCUUGGGUGGAACCUGUGUGGCAUUAGGUUGUCGUGCAGGGGAUGCCCAUCAUUUACUGUGAAAAAAUUAGAGUGUUCAAAGCAGGCCUAUGCCGUUGAAUAUAUUAGCAUGGAAUAAUGAGAUAGGACUUUUUUGCUAUUUUGUUGGUUUGCGCAAAGAGGUAAUGAUUAAUAGGGACAGUUGGGGGUAUUCGUAUUCCAUUGUCAGAGGUGAAAUUCUUGGAUUUUUGGAAGACGAACUACUGCGAAAGCAUUUACCAAGGAUGUUUUCAUUAA